rnacentral:rRNA from 1 species
AUUGAACGCUGGCGGCAGGCCUAACACCUGCAAGUCGAACGAGUGGCGGACGGGUGAGUAAUGUCUGGGAAACUGCCUGAUGGAGGGGGAUAACUACUGGAAACGGUAGCUAAUACCGCAUACCAUCGGAUGUGCCCAGAUGGGAUUAGCUAGUAGGUGGGGUAAAGGCUCACCUCGGCGACGAUCCCUAGCUGGUCUGAGAGGAUGACCAGCAACACUGGAACUGAGAAAGGGUCCAUAAUGCUACGGGCGGCAGCAGUGGGGAAGAUGGCACAAUGGAAGGAAGCCUGAUGCAGCCAUGCCGCGUGUAUGAAGAAGGCCUUCGGGUUGUAAAGUACUUUCAGCGGGGAGGCGUUACCCGCAGAAGAAGCACCGGCUAACUCCGUGCCAGCAGCCGCGGUAAUAC